UACGUAGGGGCCUAGCGUUGUCCGGAAUCAUUGGGCGUAAAGAGCUCGUAGGCGGUUCGGCAAGUCACGUGUGAAAUCUCCACGCUUAACGUGGAGGCGCCACGUGAAACUGCCGUGACUCGAGUCCGGUAGGGGAGUGUGGAAUUCCCGGUGUAGCGGUGAAAUGCGCAGAUAUCGGGAGGAACACCGGUGGCGAAGGCGGUUCUCUGGGCCUUACCUGACGCUGAGGAGCGAAAGCGUGGGGAGCGAACAGG
rnacentral:rRNA from 1 species